AUUGAACGCUGGCGGCAUGCUUUACACAUGCAAGUCGAACGGUAACAGGUCUUCGGAUGCUGACGAGUGGCGAACGGGUGAGUAAUGCAUCGGAACGUGCCCAGUCGUGGGGGAUAACGCAGCGAAAGCUGCGCUAAUACCGCAUACGAUCUAUGGAUGAAAGCGGGGGACCGUAAGGCCUCGCGCGAUUGGAGCGGCCGAUGUCAGAUUAGGUAGUUGGUGGGGUAAAGGCCCACCAAGCCAACGAUCUGUAGCUGGUCUGAGAGGACGACCAGCCACACUGGGACUGAGACACGGACCAGACUCCUACGGGAGGCAGCAGUGGGGAAUUUUGGACAAUGGGCGCAAGCCUGAUCCAGCAGUGCCGCGUGCAGGAAGAAGGCCUUCGGGUUGUAAACUGCUUUUGUACGGAACGAGACGGCUCUCUCUAAUACAGAGGGCUAAUGACGGUACCGUAAGAAUAAGCACCGGCUAACUACGUGCCAGCCGCCGCAGUAAUAC
rnacentral:rRNA from 1 species